ensembl:snoRNA
GCUGGUGGAGUGAUGACUCUUUCCCCGUCAGAGCGACAGUGUUGAGCACUGCUGUCCAAGCCAGAUCGUGUCUGAUGCACCAGC